ACGAACGCUGGCGGCGUGCCUAAUACAUGCAAGUAGAACGCUGAAGAGAGGAGCUUGCUCUUCUUGGAUGAGUUGCGAACGGGUGAGUAACGCGUAGGUAACCUGCCUUGUAGCGGGGGAUAACUAUUGGAAACGAUAGCUAAUACCGCAUAACAAUGGAUGACACAUGUCAUUUAUUUGAAAGGGGCAAUUGUUCCACUACAAGAUGGACCUGCGUUGUAUUAGCUAGUAGGUGAGGUAAUGGCUCACCUAGGCGACGAUACAUAGCCGACCUGAGAGGGUGAUCGGCCACACUGGGACUGAGACACGGCCCAGACUCCUACGGGAGGCAGCAGUAGGGAAUCUUCGGCAAUGGGGGCAACCCUGACCGAGCAACGCCGCGUGAGUGAAGAAGGUUUUCGGAUCGUAAAGCUCUGUUGUAAGUCAAGAACGGGUGUGAGAGUGGAAAGUUCACACUGUGACGGUAGCUUACCAGAAAGGGACGGCUAACUACGUGCCAGCAGCCGCGGUAAUACGUAGGUCCCGAGCGUUGUCCGGAUUUAUUGGGCGUAAAGCGAGCGCAGGCGGUUUGAUAAGUCUGAAGUUAAAGGCUGUGGCUCAACCAUAGUUCGCUUUGGAAACUGUCAAACUUGAGUGCAGAAGGGGAGAGUGGAAUUCCAUGUGUAGCGGUGAAAUGCGUAGAUAUAUGGAGGAACACCGGUGGCGAAAGCGGCUCUCUGGUCUGUAACUGACGCUGAGGCUCGAAAGCGUGGGGAGCGAACAGGAUUAGAUACCCUGGUAGUCCACGCCGUAAACGAUGAGUGCUAGGUGUUGGAUCCUUUCCGGGAUUCAGUGCCGCAGCUAACGCAUUAAGCACUCCGCCUGGGGAGUACGACCGCAAGGUUGAAACUCAAAGGAAUUGACGGGGGCCCGCACAAGCGGUGGAGCAUGUGGUUUAAUUCGAAGCAACGCGAAGAACCUUACCAGGUCUUGACAUCCCGAUGCUAUUUCUAGAGAUAGAAGGUUACUUCGGUACAUCGGUGACAGGUGGUGCAUGGUUGUCGUCAGCUCGUGUCGUGAGAUGUUGGGUUAAGUCCCGCAACGAGCGCAACCCCUAUUGUUAGUUGCCAUCAUUCAGUUGGGCACUCUAGCGAGACUGCCGGUAAUAAACCGGAGGAAGGUGGGGAUGACGUCAAAUCAUCAUGCCCCUUAUGACCUGGGCUACACACGUGCUACAAUGGUUGGUACAACGAGUUGCGAGUCGGUGACGGCGAGCUAAUCUCUUAAAGCCAAUCUCAGUUCGGAUUGUAGGCUGCAACUCGCCUACAUGAAGUCGGAAUCGCUAGUAAUCGCGGAUCAGCACGCCGCGGUGAAUACGUUCCCGGGCCUUGUACACACCGCCCGUCACACCACGAGAGUUUGUAACACCCGAAGUCGGUGAGGUAACCUUUUGGAGCCAGCCGCCUAAGGUGGGACAGAUGAUUGGGGUG
rnacentral:rRNA from 1 species